AUUGAACGCUGGCGGCAUGCCUUACACAUGCAAGUCGAACGGUAACAGGUCUUCGGAUGCUGACGAGUGGCGAACGGGUGAGUAAUACAUCGGAACGUGCCUAGUAGUGGGGGAUAACUACUCGAAAGAAUGGCUAAUACCGCAUGAGAUCUACGGAUGAAAGCAAGGGAUCGCAAGACCUUGUGCUACUAGAGCGGACGAUGGCAGAUUAGGUAGUUGGUGGGAUAAAAGCUUACCAAGCCGACGAUCUGUAGCUGGUCUGAGAGGACGAUCAGCCACACUGGGACUGAGACACGGCCCAGACCCCUACGGGAGGCAGCAGUGGGGAAUUUUGGACAAUGGGCGCAAGCCUGAUCCAGCAAUGCCGCGUGCAGGAUGAAGGCCUUCGGGUUGUAAACUGCUUUUGUACGGAACGAAAAGCCCUGGGUUAAUACCCUGGGGUCAUGACGGUACCGUAAGAAUAAGCACCGGCUAACUACGUGCCAGCAGCCGCCGUAAGAC
rnacentral:rRNA from 1 species